GGGGAAUUUUGGACAAUGGGCGCAAGCCUGAUCCAGCAAUGCCGCGUGCAGGAUGAAGGCCUUCGGGUUGUAAACUGCUUUUGUACGGAACGAAAAGCCUCUCUCUAAUACAGGGGGGUGAUGACGGUACCGUAAGAAUAAGCACCGGCUAACUACGUGCCAGCAGCCGCGGUAAUACGUAGGAUCCGAGCGUUAUCCGGAUUUAUUGGGUUUAAAGGGUGCUCAGGCGGGGGGUUAAGUCGGCGGUGAAAUUUUGCAGCUCAACUGUAAAAGUGCCUUCGAAACUGGUUCCCUUGAGUGCGGAUGAGGUAGGCGGAAUUUGUGGUGUAGCGGUGAAAUGCAUAGAUAUCACGAGGAACUCCGAUUGCGCAGGCAGCUUACCAAGCCGUAACUGACGCUCAAGCACGAAGGCGUGGGGAUCAAACA
rnacentral:rRNA from 1 species